AGCAGCGUGGCUCAGUGGAAAGAGCACGGGCUUGGGAGUCAGAGGUCAUGGGUUUGAAUCCCAGCUCUGCUA
rnacentral:tRNA from 1 species